rnacentral:rRNA from 1 species
GACGAACGCUGGCGGCGUGCUUAACACAUGCAAGUCGAACGGAAAGGCCCUGCGUUUGUGGGGUGCUCGAGUGGCGAACGGGGGAGUAACACGUGAGUAACCUGCCCUUGACUUUGGGGUAACUUCAGGAAACUGGGGCUAAUACCGGAUAGGAGAUCCUGCUGCAUGGUGGGGGUUGGAAAGUUUCGGCGGGUGGGGAUGGACUCGCGGCUUAUCGGCUUGUUGGUGGGGUAGUGGCUUACCAAGGGUGUGACGGGUAGCCGGCCUGAGAGGUUGACCGGGCACAUUGGUACUGAGAGACGGACCAGACGCCUAUGGGCGGCAGCAGUGGGGAGUAUGGCACAAUGGGCGGAAGCCUGAUGCAGCGACGCCGCGUGCGGGAUGACGGCCUUCGGGUUGUAAACCGCUUUCGCUUGUGACGAAGCGUGAGUGACGGUAAUGGGUAAAGAAGCACCGGCUAACUACGUG